rnacentral:rRNA from 1 species
CUCCUACGGGAGGCAGCAGUGGGGAAUUUUGGACAAUGGGCGAAAGCCUGAUCCAGCAAUGCCGCGUGCAGGAUGAAGGCCUUCGGGUUGUAAACUGCUUUUGUACGGAACGAAAAAGCUUCUCCUAAUACGAGAGGCCCAUGACGGUACCGUAAGAAUAAGCACCGGCUAACUACGUGCCAGCAGCCGCGGUAAUACGUAGGGUGCGAGCGUUAAUCGGAAUUACUGGGCGUAAAGCGUGCGCAGGCGGUUAUGUAAGACAGAUGUGAAAUCCCCGGGCUCAACCUGGGAACUGCAUUUGUGACUGCAUGGCUAGAGUACGGUAGAGGGGGAUGGAAUUCCGCGUGUAGCAGUGAAAUGCGUAGAUAUGCGGAGGAACACCGAUGGCGAAGGCAAUCCCCUGGACCUGUACUGACGCUCAUGCACGAAAGCGUGGGGAGCAAACAGGAUUAGAUACCCUGGUAGUCCACGCCCUAAACGAUGUCAACUGGUUGUUGGGAAUUAGUUUUCUCAGUAACGAAGCUAACGCGUGAAGUUGACCGCCUGGGGAGUACGGCCGCAAGGUUGAAACUUAAAGGAAUUGACGG